UACGAAGGGGGCUAGCGUUGCUCGGAAUCACUGGGCGUAAAGGGCGCGUAGGCGGGUCGGCAGGUCAGGGGUGAAAUCCCGCGGCUCAACCGCGGAAGUGCCGUUGAAACCGCCGGUCUCGAGGGAGGCAGGGGAGCGCGGAACUUCCGGUGGAGCGGUGAAAUGCGUAGAUAUCGUAAGGAAGACCAGUGGCGAAGGCGGGUCUCUGGACAGUUCCUGACGCUGAGGCACGAAGGCCAGGGGAGCAAACGGG
rnacentral:rRNA from 1 species